UGGGGGAUAUUGCACAAUGGGCGAAAGCCUGAUGCAGCGACGCCGCGUGGGGGAUGAAGGCCUUCUGGUUGUAAACUUCUUUUGCUCUUAACAAGGCAUGCUAAUGGGUGUGUUGAGUGUAGGGGUUGAUUAGCGCCGGCUAACUACGUGCCAGCAGCCGCGGUAAUACGUAGGGCGCGAGCGUUGUCCGGAAUUAUUGUGCGUACAGGGCUUGUAGGUGGCUGGUUGCGUCUGUCUUGUAAGCUAAUGGCUUAACUGUGGGGUUGGGGUGGGUACGGGCUGGCUUGAGUGCAGUAGGGGAGUCUAGAAUUCCUGGUGUAGCGAGAGAAUGCGUAGAUCUCAGGAGGAAUACCGGUGGGGAAGGCGGGUCUCUGGGCUGUUCCUGACACUGAGGAGCAAAAGGAUGGUGAGCGAACAGG
rnacentral:rRNA from 1 species